rnacentral:rRNA from 1 species
GACGGUUGUCCCGGUUUAAGCGUGUAGGCUGGUUUUCCAGGCAAAUCCGGAAAAUCAAGGCUGAGGCGUGAUGACGAGGCACUACGGUGCUGAAGCAACAAAUGCCCUGCUUCCAGGAAAAGCCUCUAAGCAUCAGGUAACAUCAAAUCGUACCCCAAACCGACACAGGUGGUCAGGUAGAGAAUACCAAGGCGCUUGAGAGAACUCGGGUGAAGGAACUAGGCAAAAUGGUGCCGUAACUUCGGGAGAAGGCACGCUGAUAUGUAGGUGAGGUCCCUCGCGGAUGGAGCUGAAAUCAGUCGAAGAUACCAGCUGGCUGCAACUGUUUAUUAAAAACACAGCACUGUGCAAACACGAAAGUGGACGUAUACGGUGUGACGCCUGCCCGGUGCCGGAAGGUUAAUUGAUGGGGUUAGCGCAAGCGAAGCUCUUGAUCGAAGCCCCGGUAAACGGCGGCCGUAACUAUAACGGUCCUAAGGUAGCGAAAUUCCUUGUCGGGUAAGUUCCGACCUGCACGAAUGGCGUAAUGAUGGCCAGGCUGUCUCCACCCGAGACUCAGUGAAAUUGAACUCGCUGUGAAGAUGCAGUGUACCCGCGGCAAGACGGAAAGACCCCGUGAACCUUUACUAUAGCUUGACACUGAACAUUGAGCCUUGAUGUGUAGGAUAGGUGGGAGGCUUAGAAGUGUGGACGCCAGUCUGCAUGGAGCCGACCUUGAAAUACCACCCUUUAAUGUUUGAUGUUCUAACGUUGACCCGUAAUCCGGGUUGCGGACAGUGUCUGGUGGGUAGUUUGACUGGGGCGGUCUCCUCCUAAAGAGUAACGGAGGAGCACGAAGGUUGGCUAAUCCUGGUCGGACAUCAGGAGGUUAGUGCAAUGGCAUAAGCCAGCUUGACUGCGAGCGUGACGGCGCGAGCAGGUGCGAAAGCAGGUCAUAGUGAUCCGGUGGUUCUGAAUGGAAGGGCCAUCGCUCAACGGAUAAAAGGUACUCCGGGGAUAACAGGCUGAUACCGCCCAAGAGUUCAUAUCGACGGCGGUGUUUGGCACCUCGAUGUCGGCUCAUCACAUCCUGGGGCUGAAGUAGGUCCCAAGGGUAUGGCUGUUCGCCAUUUAAAGUGGUACGCGAGCUGGGUUUAGAACGUCGUGAGACAGUUCGGUCCCUAUCUGCCGUGGGCGCUGGAGAACUGAGGGGGGCUGCUCCUAGUACGAGAGGACCGGAGUGGACGCAUCACUGGUGUUCGGGUUGUCAUGCCAAUGGCACUGCCCGGUAGCUAAAUGCGGAAGAGAUAAGUGCUGAAAGCAUCUAAGCACGAAACUUGCCCCGAGAUGAGUUCUCCCUGACCCUUUAAGGGUCCUGAAGGAACGUUGAAGACGACGACGUUGAUAGGCCGGGUGUGUAAGCGCAGCGAUGCGUUGAGCUAACCGGUACUAAUGAACCGUGAGGCUUAACCUUACAACGCCGAAGCUGUU